rnacentral:rRNA from 1 species
GACGAACGCUGGCGGCGUGCUUAACACAUGCAAGCCGAACGAUGAAGCCCAGCUUGCUGGGUGAAUUAGUGGCGAACGGGUGAGUAACACGUGGGCAACCUGCCCCAAACUCUGGGAUAACUCCUCGAAAGAGGUGCUAAUACCGGAUACGAACUAGACAGACAUCUGUACUAGUUGGAAAGUUUUUCGGUUUGGGAUGGGCCCGCGGCCUAUCAGCUUGUUGGUGAGGUAACGGCUCACCAAGGCUACGACGGGUAACCGGCCUGAGAGGGCGACCGGUCACACUGGGACUGAGACACGGCCCAGACUCCUACGGGAGGCAGCAGUGGGGAAUAUUGCGCAAUGGGCGAAAGCCUGACGCAGCGACGCCGCGUGAGGGAUGAAGGUCUUCGGAUCGUAAACCUCUUUCAGUAGGGACGAAGCGAAAGUGACGGUACCUAAAGAAGAAGCACCGGCUAACUACGUGCCAGCCGCCGCGGUAA